GUGGUAUUCAUGUGUUGCUAAACUGUAAUUCCCAGGAUACCAGGACACCAGACUACUGGUGAGGGGCACUGGGAGUAACAUGUAGAAAUAAAAAUAGAAAGU